ensembl:rRNA 5S_rRNA 5S ribosomal RNA
GACAGCAGCCAUAUCACCCUGCAACUCACAACUGGCAGCCCCCUGAAGCUAAGCAGGUGUGAGCCUGGUCAGUACCUGGAUGGGAGACCUCCUGGGAAAAACUAAGGUUGCUGCUGGAA